UGGGGAAUAUUGGACAAUGGGGGCAACCCUGAUCCAGCCAUGCCGCGUGAGUGAUGAAGGCCUUCGGGUUGUAAAGCUCUUUUGGCGGGGACGAUGAUGACGGUACCCGCAGAAUAAGCCCCGGCUAACUUCGUGCCAGCAGCCGCGGUAAGACGAAGGGGGCUAGCGUUGUUCGGAAUUACUGGGCGUAAAGCGAGUGUAGGCGGUUGCCGUAGUCAGGUGUGAAAGCCUUGAGCUCAACUCAAGAAAUGCACUUGAUACUGGGUGACUAGAGGACCGGAGAGGAUAGUGGAAUUCCCAGUGUAGUGGCGAAAUACGUAGAGAUUGGGAAGAACACCAGUGGCGAAGGCGGCUAUCUGGACGGUUACUGACGCUAAGACUCGAAAGCGUGGGGAGCAAACAGGAUUAGAUACCCUGGUAGUCCACGCCGUAAACGAUGGGUGCUAGACGUUGGCGAGCUUGCUCGUCAGUGUCGCAGCUAACGCGUUAAGCACCCCCGCCUGGGGAGUACGG
rnacentral:rRNA from 1 species